rnacentral:tRNA from 1 species
UGGGAUGUAGCCCCGCCUGUGGCGGGGCACACGUCUGGGGGGCGUGGGGUCGCAAGUUCGAAUCUUGUCAUCCCGA